AAAUUAAAAACUUUCCUACAUUAAUUGGGUUAACCUUACUUUGAAUGAAAAAAAUAUAUGAAAGUGUUAAAAAAUUAAUGAUAAUCACUGUUCAUGAACCAGAAGUAAGUCCUAAUCAUUCUUCAUUGUAUUACUCAGGGUCUGUUCCAUCACAUCCAGUCAAUAAAGGAAUAAUAUCUAUGAUGUCAGACAACAAUAAAGACCCAUUUCUGUAGAAGAAGAUCUCACUACCAUGAACACUCUAGGGCUAGGGGACAUGAUGCCAGUAAAAUGAGAAAAUAGAGUGGAAGAAAGUCCAAAGUUUGUUUUGCUCCCUAUUCAAUAGAGAACAAAGUUAACAUUAGCGAUGGAGAUAAAAGGAAUCUCUAAAACAAUAAUUCUUAUCAAAAUCCAACAAUCUCUAUUCAAAAUAUUAAUCUAAGCAGUAACAUGACAACUAUUUGAACCAAAGAGUGAAGCUCACGUGAGGACAGUUUUCAACACUAGAGUUACAGUACUAGUCCUCGGUGGAAUCAAGGAGUCAUUAAAGAAUCAUUCUGGAAGAUCAAAUUAAUACAAGCACUGAACAGCAGACAGGAAUGGAAAAUAUGGCCAACAGAUCAUGUGUGGUGCCCCAAUGGUCCAACAACUGAGGGAUAGGUGAAUGUGAUAAUACAUAAUAGAUCAAAGGAAUGUACAUGCUGCUUCCAGAUCAGUGUUCUUAGUUCCGCUAAUGAUCUACUAUUGCACAAUAAAUAAGCAAAGUCCUGAAAAGCCUGCAGAAUCUGGGAGCACACUUUAGUUAAUAAGCAGGGUGUCAUAUGGCCUGCACAAUGAUCAACAGUUAGCAGUAAAGACAUCCUUCAAUGAAGCAGCCCUAUUUACGCCAAGAUAACAAUGUCUUUUUUAGUACUGUAUUGUAUAUUAUUUUACACCUUAAUUUUUAGUCUUAACUAUUGGUCACUGUAAAAAAAAACUAAGUAAAAUAUUUUUAGAGCUAUA